CGGGACUCUCACGAGGCCUCGUAAUCGGAAUGAGUACACUUUAAAUAUUUUAACGAGGAACAAUUGGAGGGCAAGUCUGGUGCCAGCAGCCGCGGUAAUUCCAGCUCCAAUAGCGUAUACUAAAUUUGUUGCGGUUAAAAAGCUCGUAGUUGCAUUUGUGCGCCGCGCUGUCGGUGCACCGCAUCCGCGGUGAUACUGAUACGUUUGCGGAGCAUAUCGUCGGUGAGCCGCCGGUCAAACGGCGGUUCAAUAUCAAAAUCCUAUCGCGGUGCUCUUCAGUGAGUGUCGAGGUGGGCCGACAAUUUUACUUUGAACAAAUUAGAGUGCUCAAAGCGGGCUCAAAACGCUGCUUGAAUAUUUCGUGCAUGGAAUAAUAGAAUAUGAUCUCGGUUCUAUUUUGUUGGUUUUCAGAACUCCGAGGUAAUGAUUAAUAGGGAUAACUGGGGGCAUUCGUAUUGCGACGUUAGAGGUGAAAUUCUUGGAUCGUCGCAAGACGAACAUCAGCGAAAGCAUUUGCCAAAGGUGUUUUCAUCAAUCAAGAACGAAAGUUAGAGGUUCGAAGGCGAUUAGAUACCGCCCUAGUUCUAACCGUAAAUAUGUCAUCUAGCGAUCCGCCGACGUUAAUCAAAUGGCUCGGCGGGCAGCUUCCGGGAAACCAAAGAUUUUGGACUCCGGGGGGAGUAUGGUUGCAAAGCUGAAACUUAAAGGAA
rnacentral:rRNA from 1 species